CCAUACACCUCACAGCUCCUGGUAAGUAACGUUAGUCAGCUAAUCCUACUUACGUUUGUAACACUUUAUUAAAAAGUUAAUAAUUAUUAAGCAUUUUCUAACAAUUGUCUUUGUAUUUUACGUCAUAUUCAACAAGUUUCGUAGCUUAAUCGAAGUCACCUGAAGGACGGCUUUCCUCAGCAACGGCAAGACCCGCACUCCUCUCAUAUUGUGAAGUUUAACAAGUUUCGCGGCUCAAACAAGAGGCACCUGUCACUGAAGGACUCCUUUUCUCAGCAACGACGUGAACAGCAUUACUCGAAUUUCCUGGUUCAGCUGAUCUACCCGUCUUCGUACAAGCAGAGUUGGCAGAGGAGGUCAUAAAAAUCUACAUCCUUCGGGACAAUAAUGGGGCAGUCAGCGAUGUAAUCUUGGGAAUCUCAGCAGAGCCUGCUGCCAUCUUUCAGGAGUCACAUUGGAUUUGAGAUAUCCCAAGACCCACAAAUACAGGUCCUUCUCCAAAAAUUAGCAUAUUGUGAUAAAGUUCAUUAUUUUCCAUAAUGUAAUGAUAAAAAUUAAACUUUCAUAUAUUUUAGAUUCAUUGCACACCAAC